rnacentral:rRNA from 1 species
AGUGGCGUACGGGUGAGUAACACGUGGAUGAUCUGCCCUGGAGUGGGGAAUAACGCUGGGAAACCGGCGCUAAUACCGCAUAUUCGAGAGGAAAGCAGCGCUCGAGGAGGAGUCCGCGGCCGAUUAGCUAGUUGGCAGGGUAAAAGCCUACCAAGGCUGUGAUCGGUAGCCGGCCUGAGAGGGCACACGGCCACACUGGCACUGAAACACGGGCCAGACUCCUACGGGAGGCAGCAGUGGGGAAUCUUGCACAAUGGGGGAAACCCUGAUGCAGCGACGCCGCGUGAGCGAUGAAGCCCUUCGGGGUGUAAAGCUCUUUCGGCAGGGAAGAUUGACGGUACCUGCAGAAGCAGCUGCGGCUAACUACGUGCCAGCAGCCGCGGU